rnacentral:rRNA from 1 species
CUGGCGGCAGGCCUAACACAUGCAAGUCGAGCGCGCCUUCGGGUGAGCGGCGGACGGGUUAGUAACGCGUGGGAACGUGCCCUUCUCUACGGAAUAGCCUCUGGAAACGGAGAGUAAUACCGUAUACGCCCUUCGGGGGAAAGAUUUAUCGGAGAAGGAUCGGCCCGCGUUAGAUUAGGUAGUUGGUGGGGUAACGGCCUACCAAGCCUACGAUCUAUAGCUGGUUUUAGAGGAUGAUCAGCAACACUGGGACUGAGACACGGCCCAGACUCCUACGGGAGGCAGCAGUGGGGAAUCUUAGACAAUGGGGGCAACCCUGAUCUAGCCAUGCCGCGUGAGUGAUGAAGGCCUUAGGGUCGUAAAGCUCUUUCGCCUGUGAUGAUAAUGACAGUAGCAGGUAAAGAAACCCCGGCUAACUCCGUGCCAGCAGCCGCGGUAAUACGGAGGGGGUUAGCGUUGUUCGGAAUUACUGGGCGUAAAGCGCGCGUAGGCGGAUUAGAAAGUUGGGGGUGAAAUCCCGGGGCUCAACCUCGGAACUGCCUCCAAAACUGCUAGUCUAGAGUUCGAGAGAGGUGAGUGGAAUUCCGAGUGUAGAGGUGAAAUUCGUAGAUAUUCGGAGGAACACCAGUGGCGAAGGCGGCUCACUGGCUCGAUACUGACGCUGAGGUGCGAAAGUGUGGGGAGCAAACAGGAUUAGAUACCCUGGUAGUCCACACCGUAAACGAUGAAUGCCAGUCGUCGGGUAGUAUACUAUUCGGUGACACACCUAACGGAUUAAGCAUUCCGCCUGGGGAGUACGGUCGCAAGAUUAAAACUCAAAGGAAUUG